rnacentral:rRNA from 1 species
UCUCUCGGCAACGGAUAUCUCGGCUCACGCAUCGAUGAAGAACGUAGCAAAAUGCGAUACUUGGUGUGAAUUGCAGAAUCCCGUGAACCAUCGAGUUUUUGAACGCAAGUUGCGCCCGAAGCCUUUUGGCUGAGGGCACGUCUGCCUGGGCGUCACAC